AUGAACCUUUGAGGGUUGAGCUGGCGUUUAUUCGCAUGUGCUUGCCCUCUCAUCCUUUAUAUACCUGUGCACUUUUGAAGGGAGACAUUAGUAGACAUUCACUUGUCGAAGGUAUCUCCCUUACACUACAUACUCUAAUGAUUACUUUGAAUGUUUAAACGCUUAACAGCAUUUAAUUA
rnacentral:misc_RNA from 1 species